CAAGAGUUUACAUCUGCUCAGAAUCCUAGAGUCUUAAAGUUGAGAUAAUUUUCUGCAGGUCAUUUUGGGAAGGGAGCAAAUUUUUCUAUUUACAUUUUCCCAACUAACAUAAAUUGUGUACUUUGGGAUAUAAUUUGGAAGUUUUCCCAGGAAACAGAUGACUACUACUUUGCAUAAUCCAGGUUGAGUAAAUACACAAUUAUUAAUUUAGCAUAAAUUCAGUAUUUCCUAACUUCUAAUCCACAAAGUGAAUACAGAUAUCCCUGGAGCUCCAUUGGAGAUACCAACCCCUUCAGAAUGGACGACCAACAAUGGCAGCAUGCUGUGGAUAUUGAACAAAAUGCAGCUGAGUUGUUACCCAGAAAUCCAUACUGUUCAAACGAAGGAAUGCACUGUGGUUGUAGAUUGCCCAUCGUGACCUUACAGCCGCAGUGGGUGACAGCAAAACUGUAGUCACUCUGGAAAACAUUACUGGUGUGUCUGUUGGCCUCUUUGCUAGGACCCUUGUCGUUCUGCUCUGAUAUCUUGUCCACUUCAGCAAGCCCACCAACAGUACCACCGUCCUCACUCACAUAGACAGCAAGUCCAAUCAUGUCACCUGCAUCGCUGGUUCUGCCCCAUCUCCUGCCUCAUCAUCCCUGCCUGGACCUCAGGGCACUCUGCCUCCUACCCCUGUGCCCAACCAAAGGGCCUCUACCAAGGUGCCUCCACCUCCUAUGAAGAUGACUAAAACCACAAUGCGGGGCCAUGAAGUUGUCACUGAAGAUGGAGAAUAAUGUUUUGGGGGCCUUUAGCCCUCCUCAAGCCAGAUCAACAUCCUUACCCUGAAGGAAGCACGUCCAAGGUAUUCUUUCCUCCUGCCAAGAGGUUCCACAGCAUUUAGCUUUAUGAGACCUGCCCCUCUUGCUCAAUCAUUUGCUGUAUUCCGUAUGAGAAUGACUCCAGUGUUCUCAGUUUUGGGCCCUCCAAUGGUCAAAUGAUUGGAAAAGAAGAAUUUCAAUUGAACUAGGUAGAUUCAUCCAGGCUGGGGCCCAGUGUUUCCUUUUCAUCCUGUACAACCAAUCUCAACUUCACUAAUGAGGAUUUUGACAGCUGAGGAAGUUGCCUGCUUCCUGUAUGCUGGUUCUCAAGCUGGUAUUUUUCAUCCAGUCGUUGAUUAUUUCCCAAUCUCGUAUACUUGGCUAUUUUCAGCAUUUCUAUUCCAGUAGGGGAAGAAGGAAAUGUUUAAUUAAUGUGGGUAAUGAACAUAAAUGAUUAUAUAACUAUUGAUCAUUACAGAAGCUUUCCUACUAUUGGGGAGUUCAGAAAAGAGGGCAGAUAAGUGAGAUUAGAAAUAAUCAAGGAAGGUUUUAGAGAAAGGCUGAAAGUUGAACAAGGGUGAAAGUUUAAAUUUAAGGAGAGAUAAUUAAAACAGAAAAUGAGAGGGCUAAGGGAGUUUAAUAGAUUUAAAAUCCAAACCACAUUUAUGGAUAAGCACACUUACCCAAAAUUCUUCAAAUGUAACAAAUGAUGUAUUUUAUAUAUCUGCGCUUUUUUACU